GCUGGGCAGGGUGGUGCACGCCUGUAAUCCCAGCAACUCAGGAGGCUGAGGCAGGAGGAUCACAAGUUCAAAGCCCUUCUCAGCAACUUAGUGAGGCCCUAAGCAACUUAGUGAUAUUCUGUCUCUA
rnacentral:sRNA from 1 species